CCCUUAGAUGUUCUGGGCUGCACGCGUGCUACAAUGGCGUUUCCAGCAAGUCCGCGAACCCGAGAGGGCCAGCGGAUCUUCGAAUUGGCGUCGUGAUCGGGACAGUCGAUUGCAAUUAUUUGACUCAAACGAGGAAUUCCUUGUAAUCGCGAUUCAUCAUAUCGCGCUGAAUACGUCCCUGCCCUUUGUACACACCGCCCGUCGCUCCUACCGAUUGAGCGAUCCGGUAAAUGUUUUGGAUUGGUGCCGGGGCGGCUAGCUGCCGGUCGCUACGAAAUUUUGUGAACCUUAUCGCUUAGAGGAAGGAAAAGUCGUAACA
rnacentral:rRNA from 1 species